GCAGAAACUAAAUGAGGGAUGUGGUCCUGGAAAGAGAAAACUAGGGAAAGGCCAAAGAGCAUUGCUGAGCUGGAUCCAGCCCUGGGACAUCACUCCAGCCAAGGAAGCUGUCAGCUUCUGAUUCUUGCCAUCUUGUGGUGUGGUGCUGCACUGCGACCAUCCCUCAGCUCCUCUGCAGAUACAGCAGCUGAAAAACAAUCUGCUUUCAUAAAGGUCUUAGAAGGAGUCCAAACUAUUCCCAGUCUGGAACCUGAGACUGACAGAAAUGACCUCUCUCCAAAUCUCUUCCUAGCCUGAACUCUUGGGCCAUUUCCUACUUGCAAAGCCACAGAGUCUCCACACUCUUCUUGAAGCUGUUCUUGGAUUUGAAAUACUCCAGUUCAUCAUAGUCUGCACUGUAUCCCAGACACUCAUUUACCAGAGCUAAGACCAUUUUUUAAAUAGUGCUUUGAGAGGGAGCUGUACAGUUCAAGCUCCUAUCCUCCUACCUCUUCUAUCUUAUCCUUCCAUCCUCCCCAGACUCUACACUUUUAGGCAGGAGAUAGUUAGAGGAGAGAUGGCAGACCUCUGGAACCCACAGGCUUUAAAGGAACCCCUCUACUCUUGUGGUGCUGUUUAUUUCAGCAGUCCACAUCCAGGAGCCAAGCCCCACAGAGUUACCACAGGUGUUUCCUAUUUUUAAUAACCUAAAUAUCAGGCAUGUGUGCUAUUAGUGACAUGCUUUUGUGCUUCAAGGUGCUGGAAAAUGAUUAAUGUGUAAGGGUGUCUACUGCCAGCGUCUGAUCCAAGUUCACUGACUCUCAGUUAACCGGUUAGGAAAAGUCAUGUCUCGUGCAGUAGUUCUGUCUCAGCAAUCUUCCUCACUGAGAGGUCUCCACGGAAGACAUCUGAGGCUUUGCUGACUUUCAGUUCUUCUCAGACCUUUCCAAUCACAGUAAGAGUUUAGUGAUUUUGACACUGGGGUCCUCUCUCUCCCAGUUUGCCAGAAUGAUGACUUCAUUCUGGGCUUGAAGAACUUGGAGGUCAGUCAAAAAGAUGUCUGGCUAACUGGCUUACCUAAGGCUGGCCAGCUGUGGCUGUCCUCGCUAUCUGAUAAGCCUGGGACCCAGUGAGAAAGAACCUGUGUGUAACAAGUCUGCAGGGUCAGUGGUCCUGUUUAACAGGAUUCCAAUAAUGAGUUUAGACUUUAUUUUCCCGGCUAUAUUGUGAGCUAAAAAAAAUAUCCUCAGUUUAUGUCUUAGUUUGUAGACCUGGUUACAAAAAGGUACAACAGAGGGAAUAUGGAAACAGAUG
ensembl:lncRNA